AUGUCGAGGACCUCCUGGCUGGCGGUGGCAUAAUCACCCACUCCACCAUGACCCGAAGAGUUGCAGCACCAUAUCAGGAAAGUCUUGAGUCCACCGGCCGGGCGCACGAUCAAAUCGUCUGCUCAUCCAUGUCCUCACAGGGAAGAUGAACUGCAUGCAAGACACUGGUGGAUCUUUAGCUGCGUACUUUGUUCCCCAAGGAAUGGAAAACAUCAAGUUGUCGCCCUUGCGGACCUGUAAAUGUGCUUCUGCUGAUGGAGCAGCACAGCAGCACUCAAGUCUUCUUCCUCUCCGCUCUCUGAGAACAAAUGCUUGUUUCUUUCUGUUUUGUCUCAAACCGUUCAUUUUCCUAAUUUUUAAAGACUCCAUAUUUACGCUUUU